rnacentral:rRNA from 1 species
AAUAGAUACCCCGGUAGUCCACGCCGUAAACGAUGAGUGCUAAGUGUUAGAGGGUUUCCGCCCUUUAGUGCUGAAGUUAACGCAUUAAGCACUCCGCCUGGGGAGUACGGCCGCAAGGCUGAAACUCAAAGGAAUUGACGGGGGCCCGCACAAGCGGUGGAGCAUGUGGUUUAAUUCGAAGCAACGCGAAGAACCUUACCAGGUCUUGACAUCCUCUGAUAACCCUAGAGAUAGGGCUUCUCCUUCGGGAGCAGAGUGACAGGUGGUGCAUGGUUGUCGUCAGCUCGUGUCGUGAGAUGUUGGGUUAAGUCCCGCAACGAGCGCAACCCUUGAUCUUAGUUGCCAUCAUUAAGUUGGGCACUCUAAGGUGACUGCCGGUGACAAACCGGAGGAAGGUGGGGAUGACGUCAAAUCAUCAUGCCCCUUAUGACCUGGGCUACACACGUGCUACAAUGGACGGUACAAAGAGCUGCAAGACCGCGAGGUGGAGCUAAUCUCAUAAAACCGUUCUCAGUUCGGAUUGUAGGCUGCUAAC